GUCGUGAGAUGUUGGUUAAGUCCGCAACGAGCGCAACCUUACGUAGUUGCCAGCGGGUUAUGCCGGGCACUCUAGCUGAACUGCCGUUGACAAAACGGAGGAAGUGGGAUGACGUCAAAUCAUCAUGCCCUUUAUGUCCUGGGCUACACACGUGCUACAAUGGCCUGUACAGAGGGAAGCGAAAGGGUGACCUGGAGCGAAUCCCAAAAAGCAGGUCUCAGUUCGGAUUGCAGGCUGCAACCCGCCUGCAUGAAGUCGGAAUCGCUAGUAAUCGCAGGUCAGCAUACUGUGGUGAAUACGUUCCCGGGCCUU
rnacentral:rRNA from 1 species